GAUGAACGCUAGCGGCAGGCCUAACACAUGCAAGUCGAGGGGUAGCAGGAUUAAGCUUGCUUAAUUGCUGACGACCGGCGCACGGGUGCGUAACGCGUAUGCAACCUACCUUAUACUGGGGUAUAGCCCGGAGAAAUUCGGAUUAAUCCCCCAUAGUACUAAUGAAUCGCAUGGUUUAUUAGUUAAAGCAUUGCGGUAUAAGAUGGGCAUGCGUCCUAUUAGCUAGAUGGUGAGGUAACGGCUCACCAUGGCUACGAUAGGUAGGGGGCCUGGGAGGGUGGUCCCCCACCCUGGUACUGAGACAAGGACCAGACUCCUACGGGAGGCAGCAGUGAGGAAUAUUGGUCAAUGGGCGCAAGCCUGAACCAGCCAUGCCGCGUGCAGGAAGAAUGCCCUAUGGGUUGUAAACUGCUUUUAUUUGGGGAUAAACCUCUUUACGUGUAGAGAGCUGAAGGUACCAAAUGAAUAAGCACCGGCUAACUCCGUGCCAGCAGCCGCGGUAA
rnacentral:rRNA from 1 species